rnacentral:rRNA from 1 species
GACGAAGGGUGCUAGCGUUGCUCGGAAUCACUGGGCGUAAAGCGCACGUAGGCGGAUUGCUAAGUCAGGGGUGAAAUCCUGGAGCUCAACUCCAGAACUGCCUUUGAUACUGGCGGUCUCGAGUCCGGGAGAGGUGAGUGGAACUGCGAGUGUAGAGGUGAAAUUCGUAGAUAUUCGCAAGAACACCAGUGGCGAAGGCGGCUCACUGGCCCGAUACUGACGCUGAGGCACGAAAGCGUGGGGAGCAAACAGG